rnacentral:rRNA from 1 species
CUAUCCUUGGCCGGGAGGGCUAUCCUGGUCCGCUCCGUUCUACGCGCCCUGCCAAUCUAUGCCAUGAGUGUCCUUCUUCUACCUGCUGGAACCAUUCAGGAAAUCGAGAAACGCUGUAGGGCCUUCUUUUGGUCUGGUCAGGAAUCUACCACGGGCGGCCACUGCAAGGUGGCUUGGGACAUCGUUUGU